rnacentral:rRNA from 1 species
GAUGAACGCUGGCGGCGUGCCUAAUACAUGCAAGUCGAGCGAACGGACGAGAAGCUUGCUUCUCUGAUGUUAGCGGCGGACGUGUGAGUAACACGUGGAUAACCUACCUAUAAGACUGGGAUAACUUCGGGAAACCGGAGCUAAUACCGGAUAAUAUUUUGAACCGCAUGGGUCAAAAGUGAAAGACGGUCUUGCUGGCACUUAUAGAUGGAUCUGGGCUGCAUUAGCUAGUUGGUAAGGUAAAGGCUUACCAAGGCAACGAUGCAUAGCCGACCUGAGAGGGUGAUCGGCCACACUGGAACUGAGACACGGUCCAGACUCCUACGGGAGGCAGCAGUAGGGAAUCUUCCGCAAUGGGCGAAAGCCUGACGGAGCAACGCCGCGUGAGUGAUGAAGGUCUUCGGAUCGUAAAACUCUGUUAUUAGGGAAGAACAGAUGUGUAAGUAACUGUGCACAUCUUGACGGUACCUAAUCAGAAAGCCACGGCUAACUACGUG